rnacentral:lncRNA from 1 species
UAAUGACCACAGGACCCUGCAGUGUGGUAUAGCUGCUGGAAAUACAUUUCAUGCUUCCUACAACCAGUCAGUACUAGAUUCAUUUUAUUUGGGGCUGAGAUUCAUCACUUGCUUUUGAUGCAUUAAAUAAAAAAAACAUUAAUUUAAAAACAUUUUUAUGUCUGGCAGCUGCGUCAAGACAAUCAUCUUAUCCAGGUCAAUUGCCAACAUUUUUCUCAGGCCUUCUCUAACAAGAGAAAAUAGCUGUUAGAAAACAAAAUGGCUUAUAAAUGCUGUGUCUGUUUUGUAGGGAUGGUUCAAAUCAACUGUGCCUUAGGAACCAGAAGAUCAGUGAGGAGAGUUCAGAGGCCAGCACAGCACACAGUCCGAAUGCCCAGCCUCUCCCUGCCUGUCCCGCCCUCCACUGGCCAUCCCGUCUGGGAAUUCAGAGGCGAUGAAGGGGUGUGGAUUGAGUACAAUACCGGUGUAAGAGUGCUUCACUUUUUAUGGACUAUUGCCAGACCCGUGAUUUUACUGAAGCCAGUGGUUUGAGU